AAGGAGAAUCCGAAAAUCCUUAAAAGAGUAGGAA
rnacentral:ncRNA from 1 species